CAUCUCGCUUUUUAUUUCCCAGAGAGGUCUGAAGUUCGUAAGAAGACAAUGGAUACAUUCAAACGAUGAGCCGAUCAACUUCUAUGUCCCACUGCCUUAAUACUGUACACAACAGUUAGAUUUACAGUUUGAAAAACGGUCAAAAGUGAACCGUGUUUUUCUUGGCCCUGACAAAUCAUUUCUAUAAAUAAAAGAGCAAAACGUAAACACAUUAGUUAACUUUUUGUUGUUGUCGCUAUGCCUUAACGUUCCUUUCAGAAAAAUACAUUUUCAUUUAUUCAUUGUAGGUCCCCACAUAAAUAGGAAUGAUUAAAAAAAACAAGUGCAAAACAAGACAAUCAAUAUUAUUUUGUUAAGCAGCCAUAAUUGUAAAAAGGUUUUGAGAUCCACGACCCGGUAAACCUGCGUUUAGUUAGCAAGUUACAAACCAGCAGCCAUUUGUGUCUCUUUACCAAACCUUUUCUUAAUCAUAAGAAAUGACUGUGUGAUGACAACUGUUCUUCCAAUUAAAAGAAAUGUAAAAAAACAGCACCAUCUAUGGGAUUUAUAUCUGUCUGGUAAAUCAACUACUGCAUUGUCCUUCUUGAUCGAUUCCUAACCAAAUAAACUCUUCCCUUCGGUGUGUUUCACCACCCCCAGAAAAACGAAACGACUCUCAGCCCUUAACGAAAAGACAAAUCGUAGGGGCCCCACUUACAACACAUAAAAUAAAAGCAGAUUUCCUUCCUUCAAUACUGUGACUGAAUUGGGCAGGUUUCCAGUUCCAUCAUAUAGUCUUCAGUGAACACCUUGUGGAAUGAAGGACAGAGGGAAGGAUGUGUAUGAAUUCAUGAAAUAAAACAAUGUCCUGUCUGUACUUCCUAGUCCAACUCCACUGAAGACAGAACAAAGAACAGCAGCCUUCUGACUCUUUAUACUGUAGUCUAUGGGACUCUAUAUACUGUAGCCUAUGGGACAGGGUAGCUGAGUGAUGGGACUCUUUAUACUGUAGUCUACGGGACAGGGAGGCUGAGUGAUGGGACUCUAUAUACUGUAGUCUAUGGGACAGGGAGGCUGAGUGAUGGGACUCUAUAUACUGUAGUCUAUGGGACAGGGAGGCUGAGUGAUGGGACUCUAUAUACUGUAGUCUAUGGGACAGGGAGGCUGAGUGAUGUGACUCUAUAUACUGUAGUCUAUGGGACAGGGAGGCUGAGUGAUGUGACUCUAUAUACUGUAGUCUAUGGGACAGGGAGGCUGAGUGAUGGGACUC